GCGAAGGUGGCGGAAUUGGUAGACGCGCUAGCUUCAGGUGUUAGUGUCCUCUGGACGUGGGGGUUCAAGUCCCCCCCCUCGCA
rnacentral:tRNA from 1 species